rnacentral:lncRNA from 1 species
CCCUGUUUAUUUGGUUUUAUCGAACCAACAUGACAAUUACAAGGUGAAACUUUACAAAACACAUGUUACAAACUGAAAGCGAUAUAGAGUCUGAAAUUAAGCUGCUAGGAACAAAUCAAGCAGGGCAACGAGGGAUUAAAGCAGGCAAACCGGUCAGCUGCAACAAUUGAUCAUGGGCAAAAUGCCCUACAAACUUGGUCGUUCUUGAAUUGCCUGCCGGGAGCAAGAAGGGAAUUCGGACAUGAGCGGUUCAUCUCGUUCGCUGCACAAGGAAGACGGAUCAAACACAGUGCUCUAGACCUUCCUCGUCGGAUUCUUCGUCGGAGCGAUCAAGUCGUGGCCGUCCACGAAAUUAAUCUGCUGUUAGCUCCUCCUACCUGCAACGCCAUCUGGAAGCACACACAUGCAUGCAUGAAAAUGGUUCAGUUGAGUGCAUGUAACAGGAGGAAGAAAGAAAACAGAGUUCGUACUUCAUACUGACAUUGCGACGCUACAGGAUAAGGAAACACGCUAUCUAGGGAAAAUGCUGAAAGAACAGUUGAUUGGUUGUACCUGAUGGCGUUGC